rnacentral:lncRNA from 1 species
AUGUCAGAGCCAUUUCGCGUCUUUGGGCUAAUGAUGAUGGUCUACCCAGAAUCUCAAGGCUUGCAAGGUGAUGAUGACGAUGAUGGUGAUGAUGAUGACAAUGAAGAAUCAGGGAACUCCAGCCAUUCCGAGCUUCCUUCACCCUUGUGCAAGAACAGUGACAGCCCAGAUGACAAUCAGACAGAGUGUCUGGGAGAAUUCACCCUGCUUUCCCCAACUCCUGGGCACUUGGUGGAAGAUAAACAUGUGGGGUUGGCCAAGCAUGCGCUGGAGCUUGAGCCAGAAGAUCAGAAGUUUCAGGAACCAUUUUACAAAGACAUGGGAAUGUCUGACAGCUUGGCUGGAGAUGAGGAGCCCAGCCUGACCUAUCACCGUCCUGGGCAUCAGAGGUUGCCUGCUCUCCAAAAGACCAAUACAGCACCAAGUGGUUUCCAUGACUCUUUCCAGCACAGCUCAGGCCAGCACUUGGGGACAGAGGCCACUGCCACACAGGCCCAUGCCAGUGACCAUUACGUGGAACACCCAGAGAGCGCCACGGGAGCAGAGCCCCAGGUGCUGCUGGAGGAGGAUGGUGAGGACAAUGAGCAUAGGGAGGACAGGGAGUUCCCGUCCCUGCAGCCGACCUACGACUUGCUCUGGCAGGAGAACGGCAUGCUCAGGUCAGAGAACAAACUGCUCAGGAACGUGAACUUCAUGCUCAUGUCGGAGAACUUUGCACUCAGUCAGGCGCUCAAGGAGCUCAAGAAGGCCAGCACUGUGGUCGUGGAGGGGGAUGUAGUGCUCAGGGAGGAAUACAAUGUGCUCAGGGAACAGUGUGACAGGCUUGAGGGUGAGAAUGCUGCACUCAGCAGGGACAAUGCCAUGGUCAGGAGGAUGUUGAACACCUUCCAGAACAACUUGAAGAGACAGGCGUGCAUGGUGGUGAGCCUGCAGGAUCAGCUAAAGGCCAGCCAGGUGGAACGAGAGAGGGCAGCUGGGCAGUUCCAGUCCUUAGUCCAGGAGACUGAGUGUCGUCUUCAGAUAAUGAAGGAGCGGGCUCUGAAUGCCGAAACAAAUGUGGAGAGGCUGAAGCACAAGAUCUUUAUUCUCCAAGGACAGCUGGAGAGAUGCAAGCUGGAGAAUGAAAACCUGAGAACAGACUGGCCUGGAAGCAGUGAAGCACAACUUAGAGUUCACCAGGCAAAACUCCCACGAGCUCAUAAUGGGCAAAGAUGCCUCCCUCAGGCAGCUCCUGUCUCAGGAAUGCUGCCUGAUGUUGCUGAGGUCCUUGAAUCUACAAGAAAAAUUCUUAAAUUUUGA